rnacentral:rRNA from 1 species
ACUCCUACGGGAGGCAGCAGUGGGGAAUAUUGCACAAUGGGCGCAAGCCUGAUGCAGCCAUGCCGCGUGUAUGAAGAAGGCCUUCGGGUUGUAAAGUACUUUCAGCAGUGAGGAAGGUGGGUAUGUUAAUAGCAUAUUCAUUUGACGUUAGCUGCAGAAGAAGCACCGGCUAACUCCGUGCCAGCAGCCGCGGUAAUACGGAGGGUGCGAGCGUUAAUCGGAAUUACUGGGCGUAAAGCGCAUGCAGGUGGUUUGUUAAGUCAGAUGUGAAAGCCCGGGGCUCAACCUCGGAAUUGCAUUUGAAACUGGCAAACUAGAGUACUGGUAGAGGGGGGUAGAAUUUCAGGUGUAGCGGUGAAAUGCGUAGAGAUCUGAAGGAAUACCGGUGGCGAAGGCGGCCCCCUGGACAGAUACUGACACUCAGAUGCGAAAGCGUGGGGAGCAAACAGGAUUAGAUACCCUGGUAGGCUCU